UACGUAGGCAGCGAGCGUUGUUCGGAGUUACUGGGCGUAAAGUGUGCGCAGGCGGCCGCGCAAGUCGAGUGUGAAAGCCCCGAGCUUAACUUGGGAAUUGCGCUCGAAACUACGUGGCUGGAGUGUGGCAGAGGAAGGUGGAAUUCCACGUGUAGCGGUGAAAUGCGUAGAGAUGUGGAGGAACACCGAUGGCGAAGGCAGCCUUCUGGGCCAACACUGACGCUCAUGCACGAAAGCGUGGGGAGCAAACAGG
rnacentral:rRNA from 1 species